rnacentral:lncRNA from 1 species
UUUUAAUAUACACAAGACAAGAGUCUUAAAGGUUCACACAGCCUUUACUUUCAUUUACUAUACAGUGAAACCCCUUUCCCUCUCUAGGAUCAAUUCUGUGUGCAUAUUUCAUCUGAUGAAAUCCCAGGCUAAAAUAUGACCUGAUAGCACUACAUUGUCUGCACACAAGCAUUUGUGUAAAUAUUUGAAUAUUGAAUUGCCUUUCCUUUCCUGUUUUUAUACAACACAGUGGAGGAUAGAAAAGUGAAAAUGUUAAUACCAGUACUAAUACAAGUUAGGAAAUGUGAAGUAUCAUCAAGAAUACCAAAAGCAAUCUUUGAAAAAAAAGAGGGGGGGGGCACCUGGGUGGCUCAGUGGUUGAGUGACUGUCUUUGGUUCAGGUGGUAACCCCAGGGUCCUGGAAUCAAGUCCUGCAUCGGGCUCCCCAUAGGGAGCCAGCUUCUCCCUCUGCCUGUGUCUCUGCCUCUCUGUGUCUCUCAUGAAUAAAUAAAUAAAAUCUUAAAAAAAAAUACUAAAAGCAGGCUAGCGAAAGCUCAAGGGACAAAAGCUGGUUGAUGGUGAGUUUAUUUGUGAAGGAAAUAGCAUUUCCUCAGUGACACACAUGAAAUGAUGGACUGGGGUCAAAAUCUUGUCUAUAAUUAAAGUGGGGGGACAGAGAAAAAGGAGAGAUUCAUAAAUUUGUGGAUUAAGAAUCAAUAUCACAAAGGGAUUUAAGGGAUUCCAAUGCAAAGAGAGACUCAGAAAUCAUUAGAGCUGUUGAUUUGGAUGAAGCUUUCUACAGAUUUCUUAUCAAGGGAAGAAAGACAAAAGCUAGUUUCAACUCUUCUGAACACAUUUUGUAUGGAAGUCGGUAAGUCUCAUGAAAAUCAGCAUCAAGACUGCCUGCUAAGUCCCCCAAAAAUUAUCACCAGAAAGCACACCCCAUGUUUAAAUAAAUUUCUUCCAACUCCCCAAGUCACGCCAAGUAAGUUGAGAAGCCUAAAACCUGAGGUAGGAAAUUAGGUUUUGGGGGGUUUAGGUGUUAGUGGGAAUGCAAGCUCGUCCAGCCACUCUGGAAAACAGUGUGGAGGUUUCUCAAAAAGUUAAACAUAGGGUACCCUAUGAACCCACAACUGCACUACCGGGUAUUUACCCCAAAGAUACAGAUGUAAGUGAAAUGCCAGACACCUGCACCCCAAUGUUUAUAGCAGCAAUGUUCACAAUAGCCAAACUGUGGAAGGAGCCAUGAUGUCCUUUGACAGAUAAAUGGAUAAAGGAGAUGUGGUACAAAUACACAAUGGAAUAUUACUCAGCCAUCAGAAAAGACAAAUACCCACCAUUUGCUUCAAUGUGGAUGGAACUGGAGGGUAUUAUGCUGAGUGAAGUAAGUCAACCGGAGGAUAAUCAUCAUGUGGUUUCACUCAUACGUGGAAUAUAAGAAAUAGUCAAAGGGAUUAUAGGGAAAAGGAGGGAAACUGAGUGGGGAAAAAUUAGAGAAGAAGACAAACCAUGAGAGAUUCCCAACUCUGGGAAACAAAGGGUUGCAGAAGGGGAGGUGGGGGGGGAUGGGGUAACUGGGUGACGGGCACUGAGGAAGGCACUUGAUAGGAUGAACACGGGGUGUUAUACUAUGUGUUGACAAACUGAAUUUAAAUUUAAAGAAAAAAGAAAAACCUAGGGCCCACAUAGCAUGCUUGAUGCUAUCAUCAGGGAUUUUAUGACAUUUUCACUUCUAUGGAGUUUUCUCUCCUCAACUACAUGCUAUUUUCUAUUAACCAGCCAGUCUGUGUUCCUCAGCUGUUGUACAUGAACACCCUCGUUUUCGGGAAGAUAUUCUGCAAUAAAAUAGGAUAAAAUGAAAAUGGUUUGCUCUCACAGUAAGCCUAUGGUAGGGGAGGUCCCACAGGCCUAAUUUAAGUCACCGUGGGUGGAGACUGCCUUCUUUGAGUCUUCAAUGCCUUUCCUUGUUCCAGCAAGGUGGCAGAUAUUAAUUGCUUGUUGAAUAAAUUUUUAAAAUAGUCUCAAAAGUUAAGGAUAUUUCCCAAAGUAAGAAAAAAUAGAAUGUCUUUCCCAACCUAACUUUCACCAUUUCUACUUUGAUUAACUCUUUCGCAAUUGGUUUUUAAGCAGCUGAAAUCCACUUAUAAUUCUCACUGAAUGUUAGCUUUCUAUUCACUGCUAUGGAGAAAGCUACAAGGUCAGGAAUCAACCUCGUCAGCUUUUUUUUCUUCAGGUUUUCAGAACAUACAGCCUUCUCUUUUCUGGAACAACUUGAAGUUCCUUCUUCUAAAGCAAAUUCUUUUCCUUUGAGGCAAAAAGUCUCCUUUCUUUGGUUCCUCUGAGCUAGGGAAUUUCUAAGCUUCUCUCUGGAGUCUGUCCAUCCCUUUGAGAUUUUCUACAUCUUUAUACCUUAGAGGCCUAAAAUGACAUCACUUUCUUCAGCUGAUCCCAACUGAGCUCUUCUGACAAGAAGUAUGAAGAUUAACAACAAAUUUAAUUUUAAAUGGCCACGCUCUUUGGAAAUAAUAAGGUAGACCACUAGGCACUAAUCAAGAGGAGCCGUCCACGAUGUAUUUGUUAAAAGGAAAAAGUAUAUUACAGAGUAAUAUGCCCUUUUGUGGAAAAACUAUAUUUGUAAUGAUCUGUAUAUACUCACAGAAUGAAAGGAUACAUUCCAAAUGUUGGAAUUAAGGGUGACACUUAAUUCACUUUCUAUACUUGGGCAAUGUUCGAAAUUUUAAUAAUAAGCACAUAUUUCUUCUGCAAUGAAAACAGGAAAGAAUGGUUAGGCUUUUUACAUGCAAUGCCACCUUUAUGCAAGCCCCUGCCCUAGAGACCAGAAAUAUGAGGAUAAACUAAACGGGGCCCCACCAUGGAACAGUUCAUGAUUGCGGGGAAAUGGACACAUGCAAUUAGUCGUACUAUCAACAUUUUGAUGUCAAACCAAAAGAGUUAAAUAAAUAUUAGCUAUUGAAUAUUUAGAGAGAACAUAAUUUAUUCGUUGGUGCCACUGAAUCCUUAAAGGAAUUUAGAGUGAAAAGAAAAAUGAGGGGCACCCGGGUGGCUCAGUUAGUUAAGCUCUGCCUUCCACUCCGGUCAUGAUCUCAGGGUCCUGGGAUUGAGCCCUGUGUCAGGCUCCCCACUCAGCAGAGCAUAUG